UACGGAGGGUGCGAGCGUUGUCCGGAAUCACUGGGCGUAAAGAGCUCGUAGGCGGCUUGGUAAGUCGGAUGUGAAACCUCCAGGCUCAACCUGGAGUCGCCAUCCGAUACUGCCAUGGCUAGAGUCCGGUAGGGGCCCACGGAAUUCCUGGUGUAGCGGUGAAAUGCGCAGAUAUCAGGAGGAACACCGAUGGCGAAGGCAGUGGGCUGGGCCGGCACUGACGCUGAGGAGCGAAAGCGUGGGGAGCGAACAGG
rnacentral:rRNA from 1 species